rnacentral:rRNA from 1 species
GAAAGCAGGGGAUCGCAAGACCUUGCGCUAAAGGAGCGGCCGAUGUCUGAUUAGCUAGUUGGUGGGGUAAAAGCCUACCAAGGCGACGAUCAGUAGUUGGUCUGAGAGGACGACCAACCACACUGGGACUGAGACACGGCCCAGACUCCUACGGGAGGCAGCAGUGGGGAAUUUUGGACAAUGGGCGAAAGCCUGAUCCAGCCAUGCCGCGUGAGUGAAGAAGGCCUUCGGGUUGUAAAGCUCUUUCAGUCGGAAAGAAACGAUUGUGAUUAAUACUCGCAAUUAAUGACGGUACCGACAGAAGAAGCACCGGCUAACUACGUGCCAGCAGCCGCGGUAAUACGUAGGGUGCGAGCGUUAAUCGGAAUUACUGGGCGUAAAGGGUGCGCAGGCGGUCUGUAAGUCAGAUGUGAAUC